rnacentral:rRNA from 1 species
AUGGAGACAGAGGGCGCCGGCGAGGAAGGGGCCGGUGCUGAUGAGACCGCCGGCGAGGAGGCCGCCAAGGCUGCCGCCGCAGAAGCUGGCGAGGGGUCGGGCGAUUGCACUGACGACCCUGAGGCCGCAGGAGCGCCAGGCGCUGCGCCGACCGCCGAUCCCUCUGCUGCUUCUAUGGAGCCGGGCUCCGAGGAGCCCCAGCCCGGCGCCUACUUGAAGGCCGGUGACGAUAUCUUCAUCAAGCUACCCUGGGCGUCGAGCUCCAGGGCGCCGGUCAAGGGGGAAACUUUCGAUGAGGAGGUGCUCGCCUCUGCUGGACUGUCGUUGGUCGACGCGCCCAGCAGCAGCAAUGGCGAGCCUGAGGAGGAGCAGCUGCUGCGGAAGCUGCUGUCACUCUACCGCGCACGGCAAGCCAAGCUGGCUUCCCGGGAAGCGCUUGUCGCGAAGGCGGGAGUUGACAAGGAGAAGCGUGCGGAGGAGCUCCGGGGCCACAAUCAAGAAGCUCUCCGGUCCCUGGCACAGGAGCGGGAGCGACUCGACGAGGAGCGCACGGCCUUCCUUCUCGAGAAGGCCGAAGCUGAGGAGGAACAAAGGCUGGCCGCCGAGAAGCAGUCCGCGCGAGAAGGAGAAUUGGUGCAGCGGAAGGCCAACCUCGACAACUACGAGGAGGAGCUCGCCGAGCACGAGCAAGCACUUGGCGGGGCGCUCAAGGAGGCAAAGGACGCUGCCGCAAUCGCAGAGGCUGCCAAGAAAGAGCUGGAGGAGAAGGUGGCGCAACUGGAGGCCAACAUCGGGAAGAGCGGCGAGGAGCUUGCCGCGCUCAAGCGUGAGCAUGAGAAGGAUGCUGCCGCCCAUGGUGAGCUGCAAGUUCUUCUUGCUGAGAGGGGCAAGGAGCUCAGCGCCGCCAAGGAUUCCAAUGCAGACCUGGAGUUGAAGCUGGCCACACUGACACAGACGCUGGACGCCGCCAAGGAGCGGGAGAAGACCUUGUCGGAGAAGGUCAAGGCUGACAAGGCGCUGUUGGAGAGCAUCGCAGUUACCCAGAACUCAUUCAAAGAUACUGUGGAGCACUGGACCGAGGGUCUGGUGAAUAUUGCCGCAGUCAUCGACGAGGAGCUGGCGCAGCUGGGGAUGGAGGACUUUGGGUAUCCCUCCGACGAGAAUCUCCAACCUAGCGCCAAGCUCAGCCUGUUCUUCAAGGGCGUGGCGACGACACUCCAGCGGCCCCGGGAGAGGAUCCCAAAGCAGCUGGCCGACGAGUCGCGCAAAAUCUGCGCCAGGGUUCUCCAGAAGGUGCUGAUGAAGGUGGCCUUCCGCAAUCCAGGCCUCAGCUUCAUCAACGUCCUCAAGUCCUUGCCGCCAGACGCCGAUCGGGACGCACUCAAGGCCCUUGUCGCACCCAUUGUGGACAAGGUGAGUGAGAUCAAGAGGGUUGAGGGCGAUCAUGUAGACUAG